AUUGAACGCUGGCGGCAUGCCUUACACAUGCAAGUCGAACGGUAACGGGCCUUCGGGUGCCGACGAGUGGCGGACGGGUGAGUAAUACAUCGGAACGUGCCCGAUCGUGGGGGAUAACGAGGCGAAAGCUUUGCUAAUACCGCAUACGAUCUACGGAUGAAAGCAGGGGACCGCAAGGCCUUGCGCGGACGGAGCGGCCGAUGGCAGAUUAGGUAGUUGGUGGGAUAAAAGCUUACCAAGCCGACGAUCUGUAGCUGGUCUGAGAGGAUGAUCAGCCACACUGGGACUGAGACACGGCCCAGACUCCUACGGGAGGCAGCAGUGGGGAAUUUUGGACAAUGGGCGCAAGCCUGAUCCAGCCAUGCCGCGUGCAGGAUGAAGGCCUUCGGGUUGUAAACUGCUUUUGUACGGAACGAAAAGCCUUCUUUUAAUACAGGAGGGUCAUGACGGUACCGUAAGAAUAAGCACCGGCUAACUACGUG
rnacentral:rRNA from 1 species